UAGGGCUUGCUCUUGGAUUUAUGUGGUCAUAUCAUAUGGUCGACCCAGGUAAUGGGUUCGAGACAUGAUAGAGAUGAUCAGUUUUACUAGUAAGGCCAAAAGCCUUGGCAAUAUGAUAUGUAAAAACUCUAGAUCCUUAGGGAAACAAAGUGAUAAAUAAAAAAAUAUUAAUUGAAAUAAUAUCGAUAUGUCAUUCACUAUUUUUCAGUUAUACUAUUUUUUUUGUUUAAAAAAUUAUUAUUUUAUGUUAAAUA
rnacentral:lncRNA from 1 species